ensembl:lncRNA
CCUCUGCAGCGGCCGCAGCCACAGCCUCCCGACGCCGAAACCCCGCCCCACCUGCUGGAAGCCCCGCCCCAUAGGCCCGCCUCUCGAGGCCCCGCCCAGUAGGCCCGCCCCUCGCACUUAAACCCCGCCCUCACUAGAAGCCCCGCCCCGCCUCGCCGCCCGCGAGGCCUCAGUCCCCGAGCGGUAGCCGCGCUGGAUCCCGGUGGCGGUCUCCGCGCGGCCGGAAGCCCACGCGGGCGGUGGUGGGGAGGGGCCGCGCGGGCCUGGGGAGGGGCAGCCCUCGGGGAGGUGGAAGCAGGGUCGGUGCACGGCGCUCCUUUGGGAACCCAGCCUGCUGCCUGACCGGAAAAGACCCCCGAGGACCACCUCCUCCUUCCCUCUGAGAGCAGAAAGGAAAAGGCUGCAGGCCUCCUCACCCCAGGUGUUAGCAGGACACCGGAAUCGAGCAGAGACGGGAGGGAGGGCGAGCGCUGACCCACGUCCCUCCCCAGCCCCCCUCAGGGGUCGCUUCUGGAAGCCCCCUCGGCAGAGCUCUUCGUCUGCCUUCCUUUGUAGGUGGCCGGGCGCCCAGGAUCGCAAGCCAUUUAGCACCUCUGGAGGUCAAAGCACUGUCUGCGAAGAGAAAUACACACGUGGCAAAGCCUCUGCCUAUCAAUCUGGAGGGAAACGCAAACACGCUGGGACCUGCCAGCCAGCCUGAUGGGAGCAGCAGCACCUGGGUGUGUGGACGCUUUCGUGAACACAGGAGGACAUCCCGGGAGGUAUCAGGGCAAAAAAGGCUACCAAAAUAAUAGAGUCAGAAGUGACUAUGGGUUGAAACCGUAGCACCCUUACUCCAAGGUUGGAAGAUUUUUGUGGAAAAUGAACAUAUUUUAUUAGAAGACAUGGAGGACUUCCUGGAGCAGGAUGGGCAAACACACCCUAGUGUUUACCUGAUAUUGGAAAGGAAAGUUUUCCUCCUGCCUCUGCAGCCUUGGGUGAAUGUGUAUGUGAAACACAGAUCACCGCUAAUGUGUCCCCAGUUCAGAUUUCUGCAUCUGCAAGUUCAGAAUUAUGGUGAUUUUGACAAGGAGGAGACUACAAUGUAAAUGAGAAGAACCAUCAUAUCUGAAAGAAGUAGGCAGCAAUUCCAAGAUACUAUAAAAAGUCGGCAGAUUUGUAUCGUUUCUGUCAUGCAUGCCAUUUUUUUACUCUGGUGGAAAUUAAGGCAGGAACUUCUGUGUUACAAAAUAUUUUAAUAGUUUAAUAGUUCCACCUCUGUGAUUGCUUGCAAAGUAGCCAUAAAUUCUGCCCAUUCCUGCAAUGUGAUUUUACAGACCUUCUCAUGAAGAAAUGAAGUAUUUUUCUCUAAGCUUUGAGUCUGGGCUUGGCCACGUGACUUGCUUUGGCCAGUGGGACAUUAGCAAAGAUGAUGCAAGCAAAGACUUGGAGAAAGCUUGUGGCAUUGAGCUUCCUUUCUCAUUCUACUCUUUGCUCUUCACUAAUCACCAAGUGUAGAAACCUAGACUUGCUGGUUAGAGGAUGAGACACCCUGUGGAGCUGAGAUGGGUUAUCCCAGCUGAGCUCCUCCACCCCCCAGCCUGCCAGCUUAUGAGUGGAGGCAUCCUAGACCAUCCAACCCCAAACGACUCAGCUCAUAUCAGAAGAACCACUCAGCCUACCCACCGAGUCAUGAGAAAGAAUAAAGGUCACUGUUUUAAGCCACUAAGCUGUUUGGGGUUUGUUUGCUUUUUUCUGUUUUCUUUCUUUCUUUUUUUAUUUUU